rnacentral:rRNA from 1 species
AACGAACGCUGGCGGCAUGCCUAACACAUGCAAGUCGAACGAGACCUUCGGGUCUAGUGGCGCACGGGUGCGUAACGCGUGGGAACCUGCCCUUAGGUUCGGAAUAACUCCCCGAAAGGUGUGCUAAUACCGGUUAAUGUCUUCGGACCAAAGAUUUAUCGCCUUUGGAUGGGUCCGCGUUGGAUUAGCUAGUUGGUAGGGUAAAAGCCUACCAAGGCGACGAUCCAUAGCUGGUCUGAGAGGAUGAUCAGCCACACUGGGACUGAGACACGGCCAAGAAUAGGACGGGAGGGAGCAGAGGGGAAUAGUGGAAAAUGGGGGAAAGCAUGAACAAGCAGGGACGGGUGAGUGAUGAAGGCCUUAGGGUUGUAAAGCUAUUUUACACGGGAUGAUAAUGACAGUACCGGGAGAAUAAGCACCGGCUAACUCCGUG